rnacentral:sRNA from 1 species
CAAUCGCGGCGCAGCGAGAAAGCGUUGCCGCAGGCAACGACCCGAAGGGCGAAGCGCGCAGCGCUGAGUCAUCCUUCCCCCACCACCA